rnacentral:rRNA from 1 species
UACGGGGGGGGCAAGCGGUUGUUCGGAAUUACUGGGCGUAAAGGGUUCGUAGGCGGUGCGGUAAGUCGGAAGUGAAAUCUCCAGGCUCAACUUGGAGGCUGCUCCCGAAACUGCCGUGCUAGAGUACGGGAGAGGCGAGUGGAAUUGCAGGUGUAGCGGUGAAAUGCGUAGAUAUCUGCAGGAACACCCGUGGCGAAGGCGGCUCGCUGGACCGUAACUGACGCUGAGGAACGAAAGCUAGGGGAGCAAACAGG